rnacentral:rRNA from 1 species
GUGUCAGCAGCCGCGGUAAUACGUAGGGUGCGAGCGUUAAUCGGAAUUACUGGGCGUAAAGCGUGCGCAGGCGGUUCUGAAAGUCAGCUGUGAAAGCCCCGGGCUUAACCUGGGAAUUGCGGUUGAAACUACAGGGCUAGAAUCUGGCAGAGGGGGGUGGAAUUCCACGUGUAGCAGUGAAAUGCGUAGAGAUGUGGAGGAACACCGAUGGCGAAGGCAGCCCCCUGGGCUGAGAUUGACGCUCAGGCACGAAAGCGUGGGGAGCAAACAGGAUUAGAUACCCUUGUAGUCC